AGAGUUUGAUCCUGGCUCAGGAUGAACGCUAGCGGCAGGCUUAACACAUGCAAGUCGAGGGGCAGCGCGGGGUAGCAAUACUCUGGCGGCGACCGGCGGAAGGGUGCGUAACACGUGAGCGACUUGCCCGAUACAGGGAGAUAACCGGUGGAAACGCCGACUAAUAUCCCAUACGACAUGAGGCUGCAUGGCCUUGGGUUGAAAGGUUCGCCGGUAUCGGAUAGGCUCGCGGGACAUUAGCUGGAUGGCGGGGCAACGGCCCACCAUGGCGACGAUGUCUAGGGGUUCUGAGAGGAAGACCCCCCACACUGGGACUGAGACACGGCCCAGACUCCUACGGGAGGCAGCAGUGAGGAAUAUUGGUCAAUGGGCGGAAGCCUGAACCAGCCAUGCCGCGUGAAGGACUAAGGCCCUAUGGGUCGUAAACUUCUUUAGACGCAGAGCAAUAAGGGCCUCGCGAGGUCCGAUGAGAGUAUGCGUAGAAUAAGCAUCGGCUAACUCCGUGCCAGCAGCCGCGGUAAUACGGGGGAUGCGAGCGUUAUCCGGAUUUAUUGGGUUUAAAGGGUGCGUAGGCGGCGAAUUAAGUCAGCGGUGAAAGACCGGGGCUCAACCCUGGAAGUGCCGUUGAUACUGAUUGGCUAGAAUACCCUUGCCGUGGGAGGAAUGAGUGGUGUAGCGGUGAAAUGCAUAGAUAUCACUCAGAACACCGAUUGCGAAGGCAUCUCACGAAGGGGCGAUUGACGCUGAGGCACGAAAGCGUGGGGAUCGAACAGGAUUAGAUACCCUGGUAGUCCACGCAGUAAACGAU
rnacentral:rRNA from 1 species